UACGUAGGGUGCGAGCGUUGUCCGGAAUUAUUGGGCGUAAAGAGCUCGUAGGCGGUUUGUUGCGUCUAUCGUGAAAACCUGCGGCUUAACUGUGGGCUUGCGGUGGAUACGGGCAGACUUGAGUUCGGUAGGGGAGACUGGAAUUCCUGGUGUAGCGGUGAAAUGCGCAGAUAUCAGGAGGAACACCGGUGGCGAAGGCGGUUCUCUGGGCAGUAACUGACGCUGAGGAGCGAAAGCGUGGGGAGCGAACAGG
rnacentral:rRNA from 1 species